rnacentral:tRNA from 1 species
AUUUUAAUAGCUUAAUUUGAAGAGCUUUAUAUUGAAGAUAUAACGGUGAAUUUAUUUUCUUAAAAUG